rnacentral:rRNA from 1 species
UACGAAGGGGGCUAGCGUUGCUCGGAAUUACUGGGCGUAAAGGGCGCGUAGGCGGCUCUGUUAGUCAGGCGUGAAAGUCCUGGGCUCAACCUGGGAACUGCGCUUGAUACGGCCAGGGCUAGAGGAUGGAAGAGGGUCGGCGGAAUUCCCAGUGUAGGAGGUGAAAUUCGUAGAUAUUGGGAAGAACACGGUGGCGAAGGCGGCGACCUGGUCCAU